UUCUUUUCGUUUGGAUACAACACAAUGAAAUUAUACAACCAAAAUAAACAAUAUUAUAUCUUCAGCCAUACUCACAUAAAUCGACGUUCGUAAUUUUUUUUUCCUACGAAACCCUUCCAUUUCCUUGCAAAGCUUUGGAGAAGACGAAGCAUCAACGAGGUUUUCAAAACAUGCUCAGUUAUCAAGAAAAUCUGGGACGGGAUACAGAAGAGCGCUCGAGUAUAUGAAACAGAACGUAGAAAUAAUGUACUAGAUUAGAUAUCCUAUUUCCAUUAAGUUGUAAAGCCUUGUAAUACAUUUAAGUAUUAAUGGAAUUAUGUUUUU
rnacentral:lncRNA from 1 species